AGGCAACCUGCCCUCUGGACUGGGAUAACUACCUGAAACGGAAGCUAAUACCAGAUAAUUCACUUCUUCGCAUGGAGGAGUGAGGAAAGACGGAGCAAUCUGUCACCGGAGGAUGGGCCUGCGGCGCAUUAGCUAGUUGGAGAGGUAACGGCUCCCCAAGGCGACAAUGCGUAGCCGACCUGAGAGGGUGAUCGGCCACACUGGGACUGAGACACGGCCCAGACUCCUACGGGAGGCAGCAGUAGGGAAUCUUCCGCAAUGGGCGAAAGCCUGACGGAGCAACGCCGCGUGAGUGAUGAAGGUUUUCGGAUCGUAAAGCUCUGUUGCCAAGGAAGAACGUCCUUAAGAGUAACUGCUUAAGGAGUGACGGUACUUGAGAAGAAAGCCCCGGCUAACUACGUGCCAGCAGCCGCGGUAAUACGUAGGGGGCAAGCGUUGUCCGGAAUUAUUGGGCGUAAAGCGCGCGCAGGCGGUCAUUUAAGUCUGGUGUUUAAGCCCGGGGCUCAACCCCGGAUCGCACGGGAAACUGGAUGACUUGAGUGCAGAAGAGGAGAGUGGAAUUCCACGUGUAGCGGUGAAAUGCGUAGAGAUGUGGGAGGAACACCAGUGGGCGAAGGCGACUCUCUGGGGCUGUAACUGACGCUGAGGCGCGAAAGCGUGGGGAGCAAACAGGAUUAGAUACCCCUGGUAGUCCACGCCGUAAACGAUGAGUGCUAGGUGUUAGGGGUUUCGAUACCCUUGG
rnacentral:rRNA from 1 species